UACAGAGGGUGCAAGCGUUAAUCGGAAUUACUGGGCGUAAAGCGUGCGUAGUCGGUUAUUUAAGUCGGGUGUGAAAGCCCCGGGCUCAACCUGGGAAUUGCAUUCGAUACUGGAUAGCUAGAGUUCGGCAGAGGGAAGCGGAAUUUCCGGUGUAGCGGUGAAAUGCGCAGAUAUCAGGAGGAACACCAAUGGCGAAGGCAGCUCGCUGGGACGGUACUGACGCUGAGACGCGAAAGCGUGGGGAGCAAACAGG
rnacentral:rRNA from 1 species